rnacentral:rRNA from 1 species
UACGGGGGGGGGCAAGCGUUGUUCGGAAUUACUGGGCGUAAAGGGUUUGUAGGUGGCUCGCUAAGUCAUACGUGAAAUCCCUCGGCUUAACCGGGGAACUGCGUCUGAUACUGGAUGGCUUGAGUUCGGGAGAGGGAUGCGGAAUUCCAGGUGUAGCGGUGAAAUGCGUAGAUAUUCGCAAGAACACCAGUGGCGAAGGCGGCUCACUGGCCCGAUACUGACGCUGAGGCACGAAAGCGUGGGGAGCAAACAGG